rnacentral:rRNA from 1 species
UGGGGAAUUUUGCGCAAUGGGCUAACGCCUGACGCAGCAACGCCGCGUGGAGGAUGAAGGUCUUUGGAUUGUAAACUCCUGUCAGCGGGGAAAAAGCGACUGGUGCUCAUACCACCGGAAGUUGAUUGUACCCGCAGAGGAAGCCCCGGCUAACUCUGUGCCAGCAGCCGCGGUAAUACAGAGGGGGCAAGCGUUAUUCGGAAUUAUUGGGCGUAAAGGGCGCGUAGGGCGGCUUGGCAAGUGGAAGGUGAAAUCCCUCGGCUUAACCGAGGAACUGCCCUCCAAACUGCUUUGCUUGAGGCCGGGAGAGGCGAGUGGAAUUCCCAGUGUAGCGGUGAAAUGCGUAGAUAUUGGGAGGAACACCAGUGGCGAAGGCGGCUCGCUGGACCGGUUCUGACGCUGAGGCGCGAAAGCGUGGGGAGCAAACGGGAUUAGAUACCCCGGUAGUCCACGCUGUAAACGAUGAGUGCUUGGUGUAGCGGGUAUCGACCCCUGCUGUGCCGAAGUCAACACAUUAAGC